AUGGUGUACGACAGGGUUAGGAAAAGUAGUUAUGCCCAGGUGACAUGCAACAUCGGAGGAGGUGGGGUCCGGGCCAGCCACUACCGACGUUGCUGGGAUGCUGCAAGUACACAUGACCACCUGAGCUAUCAGGCCCAGGAGCCCGAUGUGGAGCGCUUCUUUAAGGGCUACGGGAAGAUCCUGGACGUGGAUCUGAAGAACGGAUAUGGUUUUCUGGAGUCUGAUGAUCUGCGUGAUGCAGAUGAUGCUGUUUAUGAACUGAAUGGCAAAGACCCUUGUGGUGAGCGAGUAAGUUGAGCAUGCCGCGGCCCCCGGCGAGAUGGCAGUUACGGCUCUGGACGCAGUGGAUACGGUUAUAGAAGUGGCCGAGGUAAACAUGGCCCUCCUACUCGCACAGAGUACAUUCUUAUUGUGGAGAAUUUGUCAAGUCGGUGCAGCUGGCGAGACCUAAAGGAUUAUGUGUGUCAGGCAGGAUAAGUGACUUAUGUGGAUGCUCACAAGGGACGCAAAAAUGAAGGCGGUGAUUGAAGUUGUAUCUUAUUCUUAUAUGAAAAGAGCUUUGGAAAAGUCAAUGGCAGAAAAGCUGAUCAGUGGAAGACAAGCCAGGUUCCAGACGAUGCCGGUCCUACUUCAGGAGCUGGCGUCAUUCAAGGCCUCGCUGUAGAAGCAGACACUCCCUUAAGAGCAGGAGCCGAAGUGGCAGCAGCCAAAGCAGUGAUUCUAAGAGCAGACCCCCGUCCAGGUCGGGCUCCCGCUCCCGCAGCAAGAGCCGGAGCCGGAGUCAGAUUCGGAACAAGAAGGAGAAAAGCUGGAGUCCCAGCAAGGACAAGAGCCGCAGCAAGCGCAAAGACCAAGCUGAAGAGAAGAUCCAAAACAAUGACAAUGCCAGGAAACCCAAGAGCUGGCAUCCUAGGAGGCACAAAAGUAAGAGCAGAAGUCAGAGCAGGAGUCUGGAGAGGAGAGUGGAGGAGGAGAAGCGAGGCAGUGUGAGUGGAGCAGGAGCCAGGAGGAAGGCAGGGUCCAGGAGCAGAGGAAGAGUCGCCGCCAGAGUCGGAGCCCGAGCAGGAGCAAACCCGGCAGCCGGGGCCAGAGGAACUGCAAGGACAAAGGGCAGGAAGAGAAGCAGGGAGGAGAGCCGCAGCGGCAGCCGAAGCAAGAGUGAGAGGAGCAGAAAGCGAGGCAGCAAGGAGGGCAGCAGAAAGAAGAAAAAGGAAGACACUGACCGCUCCCUACUCUGAAUCCAGUCAGAGGGAAGGCCGAGGGGAGAGAGUGAGAAUGCUGGCACCAAUCAGGAGACCCGGUCCACGUCGAGAUCCAAUUUCAAAUAGAAACCAAAACUUCCGUCAGAAUCAGGCUCCAUAUCAAAGUCAGCUACAAAAGCCUGAUCCGGGUCCAAGUCUCGAUCCAGGCCUGCCUUCAGAUCACCUUCCGGAUCUAGAUCUAGGUCCCAGGCAAGGUCUUCACUGCCUACGACCACUGGGGAACUACCCGAGGAGUCUUUUGUGCAUGUUUGCUAGCCGUAGCACAAGAGAUUGGAGUAGAACAUGUUACUGCUGUACAUUUUCAACUCCCCUAAUGGUGUGUCCAUAAUUGUUAGAUCUAAGUGCUUCCUUUCCGUAAAGCCUCCUGGUGCCAGCUCUUCUUGCUUCACUGAAAAAAAUUUUCUCUUUAGAAAAUCCCCUUUUACUCAUGGCCCACAGUAGAAUAUCCAAAACGCCUUGGCUUUCAGGCCUGGCCUUUCCUACAGGGAGGGAGCUCCGUAACCUGGACAGCUCUACGGCUGGAAUGAUCACAUAGGUAGGUAUGGUGAGUUCAAUCAGUUUUUGCUCAUGAAUUGACGCUUUUCGAUGUAUGCCAUUUAGUGACAGCACUAAGUCUUAAGUUUCCUACCACUUUGGUUUCAUAUUUUUGGACUUAACCAAGUUGUGAAUAGCACAGUCAAGGAAAAUUGAUACUUGCAGUAACCCACAGGAAAUAAACUAUAGCGUUCCAUAUUCUGGUAUACUGAUGAUAUUGCUUUACAUUAAAAAAUAAGUUUAAAAUUUUAUUAUUCCCUGUCUUGCAAGUAUAGUGACCCCUGUUUCCAUUAAAUGUGAAUAAAGACUAUCUUUGCAUGACAAAAAAAAAUGCAAAUACAACUACAAAGUAGGAAUACUAUUUGGAGUUCAAAACAAUAAUGCCUGACCUAUACGUAACACUGAAAUAUGAAGAACUUGCCUCUUGAACAUCCUGUUUCUGCAAAAGUGUGGCCUCUGAAGAACAAUGAAAAUAAAAGAAGCUGACCUAGUAAUCUACAGUGAUUUCACUUGUUUUUUUAAAGUAAGCAGAUAAAAAUCCGAGUGAGUGAAAACAAAUCCUAUUUGUAACAAAAAUGUUAACAACCUAAUACUUUUAAGCUAAUGUCUUUUCCUGGUCCUUCAUUUAUUUAACUUCAAGAUUGCUGAAUUAAUCUUGAGAUUUUUUAGAAUCAAAUACCUGAUUUUCACAGAUACAUGACUGGUCUAAUAUAUGACUGAUAAUUACUAAGUAACGGAGUAACUAAGGUAAAGCACAAUUCUCUCUGGGUUUGUUUCAAAUUUCAUCUCCUGAAGACAUGUGACAUGCAAUUCAGGAUGUGACUUUGAAUUUGGGGGAGGGUUUGCAAACUGUGGUUCACAGGCCAAAUUCGACCCACUGUUAAUGUUGAAAAACAAUCAAAAUAAGACUAUUUUGUGAUGUGAAAAUUGCAUAAAAUUCAGAUGUUGUUGUCUAUAAAUAAAGUUUUACUGAAACACA